rnacentral:rRNA from 1 species
UAACGAAUAUUCCGCAAUGCGCGAAAGCGUGACGGAGCAAUGCCGCGUGCAGGAUGAAGCCCCUCGGGGUGUAAACUGCUGUCAGGGUUUAGAAACACAAUGAUCAGACCCAAAGGAAGAGCCGGCUAACUCUGUGCCAGCAGCCGCGGUAAUACAGAGGGCUCAAGCGUUAAUCGGUGUCACUGGGCUUAAAGGGUGCGUAGGCGGGCCUGUAAGUGUCUUGUGAAAUCCCACGGCUCAACCGUGGAAUUGCUUGGCAUACUGCAGGCCUUGAGGUCGGUAGGGGCUGCCGGAACUCUAGGUGUAGCGGUGAAAUGCGUAGAUAUCUAGAGGAACGCCAAAGGUGAAGACAGGCAGCUGGGCCGAUCCUGACGCUGAGGCACGAAAGCGUGGGUAGCGAACGGGAUUAGAUACCCCCGUAGUCC